rnacentral:rRNA from 1 species
CCUACGGGAGGCUGCAGUGAGGAAUAUUGGUCAAUGGCCGGAAGGCUGAACCAGCCAUGCCGCGUGAAGGUCAGUGCCCUAUGGGCGUUAAACUUCUUUUGUGCGGGAGCAAUAAUGGUCACGUGUGGCCAGACGAGAGUACCGUACGAAUAAGCAUCGGCUAACUCCGUGCCAGCAGCCGCGGUAAUACGGGGGAUGCAAGCGUUAUCCGGAUUUUUUGGGUUUAAAGGGUGCGUAGGCUGGGAGGUAAGUCAGCGGGGAAAUGCCCCCGCUCAACGGGGUGAAGUGCCAUUGAUACUGGCUUGCUGGAGUGCGGAGGCGGUAGGAGGAAUGUGUGGUGUAGCGGUGAAAGGCAUAGAUAUCACUAAGAACCCCGAUUGCGAAGGCAGCUCACGAAUCCGCGAUUGACGCUGAUGCACGAAAGUGUGGGUAUCAAACAGGAUUAGAUACCCUUGUAGUC